rnacentral:rRNA from 1 species
UGCGCCUUGCCAGCCCGCUCAGAAACUUAAAGGAAUUGACGGGGGCCCGCACAAGCGGCGGAGCAUGUGGAUUAAUUCGAUGCAACGCGAAGAACCUUACCUGGGUUUGACAUACACCGGAAAACCGUAGAGAUACGGUCCCCCUUGUGGUCGGUGUACAGGUGGUGCAUGGCUGUCGUCAGCUCGUGUCGUGAGAUGUUGGGUUAAGUCCCGCAACGAGCGCAACCCUUGUCUUAUGUUGCCAGCACGUAAUGGUGGGGACUCGUAAGAGACUGCCGGGGUCAACUCGGAGGAAGGUGGGGACGACGUCAAGUCAUCAUGCCCCUUAUGUCCAGGGCUUCACACAUGCUACAAUGGCCAGUACAGAGGGCUGCGAGGCCGUGAGGUGGAGCGAAUCCCUUAAAGCUGGUCUCAGUUCGGAUCGGGGUCUGCAACUCGACCCCGUGAAGUCGGAGUCGCUAGUAAUCGCAGAUCAGCAACGCUGCGGUGAAUACGUUCCCGGGCCUU